rnacentral:rRNA from 1 species
CUACGGGCUGCAGCAGUGGGGAAUUUUGCGCAAUGGGCGAAAGCCUGACGCAGCGACGCCGCGUGAGGGAUGAAGGUCUUCGUGAUCGUAAACCUCUGUCAGGAAGGAUUAAAUGCAUGAUGGUUAAUACCCAUGGUGCUUGACUUAACUUCCAGAGGAAGCCCCGGCUAACUACGUGCCAGGCAGCCGCGGUAAUACGUAGGGGGCGAGCGUUACUCGGAUUCAUUGGGCGUAAAGCGAGUGUAGGCGGUAUUGUAAGUCAGGGGUGAAAUCCCUCAGCUCAACUGAGGAACUGCCCUUGAUACUACUUUACUUGAGGACAGGAGAGGAAAGUGGAAUUCCCGGUGUAGCGGUGGAAUGCGUAGAUAUCGGGAGGAACACCAGAGGCGAAGGCGGCCUUCUGGACUGAUCCUGACGCUGAGACUCGAAAGCUAGGGGAGCAAACAGGAUUAGAUACCCCAGUAGUC